GAAGCAAGCCAGACCGCCGCUGGUGCAAAGCCCGAAAGGGUGCACCGGAGGAAGGUCCGGACUGCGCAGGGCGGCGUAGCAGUCAACGGCUGUCCACCGUGAGGUGAGGAUCAGAGCAACAGAGACGAGUCCCUUGGGGCCGCGGCGAAGGCGCAAGCCGCAGCCACGAGCUCCAAGGGGGUGAAACGGGCAAUCUCUACGCGCAGCAAUACCAAAUAGGCACACGUUGAGCGGCGCGGGCAACCGCGUCGCUCACGGCCCCGGCCCGGGGAGAUGUGUGCGGGUAGGUAGCACCGAGCCGUGCAGCGAUGCACGGCCCAGAGGAAUGGCGGUCACGGCCGGCGCUUCGCAAGAGGCGCCGGCUGCACAGAAUCCGGCCUAUCGGCUCGCUUCACAC
rnacentral:RNase_P_RNA from 1 species